rnacentral:pre_miRNA from 1 species
UCUUAUGGACGAGCAAAGAAAGUAGUUUCUUGCGAUAAAAACUAUGCCUGGUGAAAAUGCUGUGAA